rnacentral:rRNA from 1 species
GACAGAGGGUGCAAACGUUUGUUCGGAUUUACUGGGCGUAAAGCGCGUGUAGGCGGCUUGGCAAGUUGAAUGUGAAAGCCCACGGCUCAACCGUGGAAGCGCAUCCAAAAACUGCUUCGCUCGAGUCUCGGAGAGGAAGGUGGAAUGCUUGGUGUAGAGGUGAAAUUCGUAGAUAUCAAGCAGAACACCUGCGGCGAAGGCGGCCUUCUGGACGAUGACUGACGCUGAGACGCGAAAGCGUGGGGAGCAAACAGG